AUUAGUGCUACUGUAUCUGUUGUCUUUAUCCUCUAGCAACUGUUUUACAUCUUUUCUGUUACCUUGUAGAAGAGCUUCAAGUAAAAUCCUGCUGCUUUAGAAGCAGUGAUAUAAUCAGUGCUCUCAGAGUGGAAAAAAAAAAAAACCCAGCGUGUUCUGGCUUGCAUUUUUUUGAAGAGAGAAAACAACUGGUCCAUUGCUGAAAAGUUGUGCCACUCGGUGCAGCCCCCACGACGUGUGACCCGCGGCGUUGGAGAUGCAGGGCACAUCCCCUCCCUCCUCUGCGACCGCAGGAUGGAGACGCCAGGUUCUUUCUGCCCUCCCUGAAAUAAGCGAGUUCUGUUCGCCCGCCAAGAACAUCCCAGUAAAUAUAAGGAUUGUCGGUAUCGAACGGCUCCGCUUUCAAACUGUGUCAGCAUGAGUGACAAGUGCAUGAAUGGAAUAUUCCUGUGGAAUAUCGUGGAAUCAGAUCUAACAUUUCUCCUGCGAAACGUAUGGAUGAAGUCAGGUGUUCUUUUAUCUGUGAGCUGAGAGGAAGAACAAGACAGAGAGGGAGGGAGGCAGAAGAGAUAUCGCCAAUUACUCUGUUGCAAGGCAUCAAGGUGCUACUGUGGUAUUUCUGACCGUGUCCCAGAUUGUCACACCUGGGUGCUCCUUGCACGUGCAGAGCCAGGAAAUAAUGGCGACGGGUCGCUCCUGCUCCCCAGUCCACAGGAGGAACAAGUCGUUCCGUACCUGCUCUGCAGAAUCCGCCUGGAAGGAAAGCUGAAGGGAGCAGGGAAAGCCAGCGCCUCCUCUCCUGCUUCCUGGGCAGGUGAACUCUGCCACUGC